ensembl:lncRNA
GUAGCUUUGUGUCUAUGGAAGUCCCUUGGAUGGAUCCCAGACCGACCCAUGGAUCCCAUGACCUUUCCUUGCCUGUGACUGUUGGUGACCCCUCUGAUGUCUGCGCUGCCUGCGCUGUGGCUGCCCUCAGUUCCUGCCUCAUUCCUUGCUUGGUGCACCUCCAGGUUUGCUCCCUGACAGCAGCAGCCGAAAUUUGGGCAGGCUUUGCCCAUGUACCCCUUGAGCAGCUGGACUGCGCUGUGUCCAUGCCCCUCACUCCCAUCCCUAGACCUGUGACUGAGUGCGGGCAGUCUGGCCCUGUUUCUUUCUCCCAUCCCGAGCCCCGGUGCUGCAAUGUUGCCUGAAGCGGGGUGCUGGGGGAGAACCGAGGGGGAUCAGGAGCUGCGCUCACCCUCCUGGAACCGGGAGGGAGGGUGCUGUUCCUGUUGACAACGGGGUUCGCUCCGAGCAGAAGGGAGGCGGUGGGAGGCCGGGCCGGGCCGGGCCGGGCGGUGCAGCCCGGGAAGCGGGGGAAGCGGUUCCCGGCCGGGGCUCUCCCUCACCUGCCCCCGGCUCUGCAGGGAAGGGCAGGGGGCGCUUCGCCCCCCGCCUACGCCGGCUCUUUCUGCCGCUCGCCGCUCGCCGUAGCCGGGGGAGAGCUAGGUUAUGCCAUUGGCCUUUUAAGAGAAGCAGCUGCCUCACUGCUCCAGUGCCAGGUUCAUCACAGUGCUGUCCAUAUCCUCAGCCAUGGUGACCACUCAGAUCCUCCUGCACUGGAGCACUGCUGUGUGCACUCAUGGGAUGCCAGGUCAUUCCCGCUCUGAUCCCUUCUUGCAUCUUCCAUUUCUCCGUGUGACAGUGAUGGUUCCAGACAGCAUGGGACUGCCAGCUUUUUGUAACAUGACCAGCAACAGGUACUGCAGGAUACUGCUGCAGCUUCCUAGUCCUAGUACUACCCUCACAGAUACCAAGUGGCAUCCAUCAGGAUCUGAAUGUUCCUGUGUUGGGCAGCUGAGAAGAGAUGGCAGUGGAAGCCAGAGGUGGCCUCUCUCCAGUUUCAUAAGUACUGAUGACCACAUUUUCUUCCUGUGUCUGUUGAAGGCAAUGACCACUAUAUCUGCUCCAAAACAGCUCCCCAUGGACAGAUACAGGGAGCUUCUAAUGACAAAGAGGAAUUUGAUGUUCAUACACAAUAUGCUGGCAUGUAAACCCACCAAGGAUGACCAGAAGAAAUGGUACCUGACUGUCUUCAUAAAUUUCCUCAAGUGCCUGAAACGGCUAAGGGAAAAAAACAAACCAACUAAAGAAAGUUACAAAACUCCAGCAGCAAAAGUCUUCUUUGGAUGCAACUACUUGUUCUCUUAUCAAAGAGUGAACUGCAGGUGCCAGCUGUCAGCUGGAAAGACUUUGCUGUGGUGUGGUGUGGGGAUGGGAGCAAGUUGCAUUCCAGGGCUUCAGAAUUGGCUGAUCUGGACUCUCCACUUCAAAAUAUCUUAACUGUGCUUUUCAAUAUGCACACAAUGCUGUGAGCUAGAACAAAACGAUCUUGUUGUGUUACCAUAGAGACACCCAGGGUCUAGGAAGGGUUCCUGCUUGAAAUCUUACUGUUAAAGGGACAAGGGCUGUUAAAAUUUGAUGAAGGGCUUAAUCCUUGACCAGGCACUGGUAUAAAUCAGUGCCACCAGGGUGAAACGAACUGGCAGUCCCAAUGCAGUGCUUUACAGACAACACCCUCCAGUCCAACUGGCCCAAAAGGGGCUGUUGUCUUGGUAGACUCAGAGAAAAAAAGAUAAAAAUAAUAGAGGUGGAGGGAGCAGGGGAAAGGUCUGGGAAAUUAACUUGGAAAUGUUGAAUCACUUUAUGCUUUUCCUUCAUUUUCCCCCUUCUUGUUUUGAUUUGAGUUCUAAUUAAAAGGCUUUCCUUUGCACUUAGACAACUCAACUUUGCUUUUUAAGCAUACAUUUUUUAAGCACCACUAAAUGAAGGCAGGCAUAAGGGAAGGUGCAGGGCUGACAACUCUGCUCUGGAGACUGAAGUCCUGCAUUCACAAUUAAAGGCAAGUAGUUGGACUAUAGCUGCUUUCCUGUGUUGUCCUGGAGAAAACAAGAUGUGGACUGAGAGGACACUACCUUCCAUGACCCUGUAGAGUUUUUAGUGUUGGUGCUGUAGUUGCCAGUUAUAAUGACCAUUUUGUGUGGUGUAGGGAGGAGAAAAUGCCUUGCUAUGUACAUAAAGGGAAGAAAAGCUGGUUGUGAGUAGACUCAGCAAAAAACCUUCAGGCAUUUUUGUUUACUUGGGACCACAGUGUCUGGGCUGCUUAUAUGAGCCUCAAAGUGGUGCUUAAGAGUCCUACUUGCCAACUUAUUUAAAAACUCUAGUGCAAAAUGGAGAGAGACUCUUUACUCUGACCCAUGUUAGUUAAUUGAUUUUGACCCUGGAGUUAAAAUCCCCAAAUGAGCAUUAGAAAGAGCAUUGGUGAACAUGUCUUGAAAAUUCCAUUUUUGUCAUUGUCUGACAGUGGUGGGAGGUGCAGAUCUGCCUUAUGUUAUACAUGAAGCUAUUUUCUAACUCUCCAACAGUGUCUGUUGAUUCAGUUCCAUAAGACAUCCUGGCUCUUAGGUCUGGUGAGGGCAGAGUUUAAUCCUUCCUGCUGUCCUUAAGUCAGCUCUGAUGACUUCUUCCUCUGGCUUAAAUCCUGGCUCUGAUGGACUCACCUGAUGACUGUUUCAUUAUGUAGAGAAUGGUAGGGUCUCUAGGAGAAGAGAAGUUCUGCUCUUUGUCUUUUUGCUGUGAAACAAAUCCUUUCUGGCCCAGGCAAACGUGAAUUAUGUACACCCUGCCUUGCAUAGGCAUCCAUGUCCUAUUGUGCCAAUGCAGGAUGUUCAGCAGAGCUAAAUUUGUGCACAUCCAGGACACUAUUAACUCUUCAGGUGCUCUAUACUCUCAAUAAAUACUGUGUGACCCAUGGCUAGCA